UGCGGGGGGGGCAAGCGUUGUUCGGAAUUACUGGGCGUAAAGGGCUCGUAGGCGGCCAACUAAGUCAGACGUGAAAUCCCCAGGCUUAACCUGGGAACUGCGUCUGAUACUGGAUGGCUUGAAUUCGGGAGAGGGAUGCAGAAUUCCAGGUGUAGCGGUGAAAUGCGUAGAUAUCUGGAGGAAUACCGGUGGCGAAGGCGGCAUCCUGGACCGACAUUGACGCUGAGGAGCGAAAGCUAGGGGAGCAAACGGG
rnacentral:rRNA from 1 species